CAUCUGAAGAUAAAGGUGAAGCUCUUAAACAUAAAUUUGAGGUCCCAACCCAAACCUCCUGAUACGGUUUUGCUAUGUCCCCACUCAAACCUCAUCUUGAAUUGUAGCUCCCAUAAUCCCCAUAUGUUGUGGGAGGGACCUGGUGGGAGGUAAUUGAAUCAUGGGGACAGGUUUUUCCUGUGCUGUUCUCAUGAUAGUGAAUAAGUCUCACAAGAUCCGAUGGUUUUAUAAAGGGCUGCUCUCCUGCACAUGCUGUCUUAUCUGCCACCAUGGAAGACAUGCUUUUGCUUCUCCUUUGCCUUCUGCCAUGAUUACGAGGCCUCCCCAGACAUCCCUGCUCUCUGUAGGAUCACCUGCUGUGAGAGGAGCCAUGUGGUAAGGACAUUCAAGCAGGCUUGGAAAGCUCCACGUGGCAAAGAACGGAGGCCUUUGGCCAGCAGCCUGCAUCCAUUCUCCAGCCCUGUGGGUGAGCGCCCAGGAAGCAGGCUCCAUCCCCAGCCCAGCCUUCAGAUGACUGCAUCUUGGCCGGCAUUUGGACUGCAACUUCAUGGGAGACCCUGAAUGAAAACACCCAGCCAAAUCUCUUCCGAAUUCCUGACCCACAGAAACUGUGAAAAAGCUCCUGGUUUUUGUGGUUUUAAAUUGCUAAGUUCUGAAGUAAUUUGUACUCAGUAAUAUUUUUUAAAUACUCAGCACUCAGUAAAUAUUUAUUGAACAAAUGAAUGAAUAAAUGAUUGAGUGAAUUAGACUAAAAGCAACAGAGGGCAUGGCCUCACACCCUCUAUUUAUUUAUUUACAGACAGGGUCUUUCUCUGUUGACCAGGCUGGAGUGGUGCAGUAGUACGAUCAUAGCUCACUGCAGCCUCAAACUCCUGGAUUUAAGCAAUCCUGCGGUGUCAGCCUCCUGAGUAGCUGGGACUACAGGUGCUCACCACUGUGCCCAGCUAAUUUUUUAUUUUUUGUAGAGAAGGAGCCUUGCUAUGUUGCCCAGGCUGGUCUUGAGCUCCUGGGCUCAAGUGAUCCUCCUGUCUCAGCCUUCCAACAUGCUAGGAUUACAGGCAUGAGUCACCAUGCCUGGCUGACACCCUCUGUUUUAACCUGAUAGGAUGCAUGUGCCACAGUCCUCUCCUCUGUUCUGUAAGUUUUAGAUCCUAGAGCAAUAUUUCUCCACCUCAGCACUAUUUUUCUUUGAGGUCACAUAAUAUUUUGUGGGGGAGGGUGGGUGGCCCUGUUCAUUGUAGGAGGAUGUUUAGCAGUAUCCCUGGUCUCUACCCACUAGCUGCCAGAAGCAACCCCUUCCUCCAACAAAGUUGUCACAACCAAAAAUGUCACCAAAUUUGCCAAAUGUCCCCUGGGGUACAAUAUUGCCCCCACUUAAGAGCUACUGCUCUAAGGUUGUCACUGAAAAGAGAGUAGAAGUACUCACAAUACUAGCUGGGUCCAGAGAUGCUAAAAAAUGAUACAAUGUUUUCAAAAUAUUUGGCUUACAAAAAUC
rnacentral:lncRNA from 1 species